rnacentral:rRNA from 1 species
AACGAACGCUGGCGGCAUGCCUGACACAUGCAAGUCGAACGAGACCUUCGGGUCUAGUGGCGCACGGGUGCGUAACGCGUGGGAACCUGCCUUUAGGUUCGGAAUAACUCAGAGAAAUUUGAGCUAAUACCGGAUGAUGUCUUCGGACCAAAGAUUUAUCGCCUUUAGAUGGGCCCGCGUUGGAUUAGCUAGUUGGUGGGGUAAAGGCCUACCAAGGCGACGAUCCAUAGCUGGUCUGAGAGGAUGAUCAGCCACACUGGGACUGAGACACGGCCCAGACUCCUACGGGAGGCAGCAGUGGGGAAUAUUGGACAAUGGGCGAAAGCCUGAUCCAGCAAUGCCGCGUGAGUGAUGAAGGCCUUAGGGUUGUAAAGCUCUUUUACCCGAGAUGAUAAUGACAGUAUCGGGAGAAUAAGCUCCGGCUAACUCCGUG